rnacentral:rRNA from 1 species
UACAGAGGUCUCAAGCGUUGUUCGGAUUCAUUGGGCGUAAAGGGUGUGUAGGUGGCGCCGUAAGUCGGGUGUGAAAUUUCGGAGCUUAACUCCGAAACUGCAUUCGAUACUGCGGUGCUUGAGGACUGGAGAGGAGACUGGAAUUCAUGGUGUAGCAGUGAAAUGCGUAGAGAUCAGGAAGAACACCGGUGGCGAAAGCGCUCUGCUAGGCCGCAACUGACACUGAGGGACGAAAGCUAGGGGAGCGAAUGGG